rnacentral:rRNA from 1 species
GACCGCCUGGGGAGUACGGCCGCAAGGUUAAAACUCAAAUGAAUUGACGGGGGCCCGCACAAGCGGUGGAGCAUGUGGUUUAAUUCGAUGCAACGCGAAGAACCUUACCUGGUCUUGACAUCCAUAGAAUCUUUCAGAGAUGAGAGAGUGCCUUCGGGAGCUAUGAGACAGGUGCUGCAUGGCUGUCGUCAGCUCGUGUUGUGAAAUGUUGGGUUAAGUCCCGCAACGAGCGCAACCCCUAUCCUUUGUUGCCAGCACGUAAUGGUGGGAACUCAAAGGAGACUGCCGUUGAUAAAGCGGAGGAAGGUGGGGACGACGUCAAGUCAUCAUGGCCCUUACGACCAGGGCUACACACGUGCUACAAUGGCGUAUACAAAGGGAUGCGAAGGUGCGAACUGGAGCGGACCUCACAAAGUACGUCUAAGUCCGGAUUGGAGUCUGCAACUCGACUCCAUGAAGUCGGAAUCGCUAGUAAUCGUGAAUCAGAAUGUCACGGUGAAUACGUUCCCGGGCCUUGUACACACCGCCCGUCACACCAUGGGAGUGGGUUGCACCAGAAGUAGAUAGCUUAACCUUCGGGAGGGCGUUUACCACGGUGUGGUUCAUGACUGGGGUGAAGUCGUAACAAGGUAACCA